CGAAACCAGACUUCAUAGAAUCAUUUCUAUAGUAAACGUCCUCUUCUGAGCUCUUCACACGAGCCACAGACUGCAACCUGGCGGACGAAACAAAGCAACUUCACCCUAGAGUGAAACCGUUUUACCCUCGCCAUUUGUUCUUCCUCCUCUUUUUUCGCACCGUGUUUCUUCGGAAACUGGUCGUGGGGAGGUCUGGACAAAGAGGGUGGUGAUGAUCUUUGACCUGCGUUCCUUGGGUUCUGGCUUCGUGCCGCCAUGCGCAGCUGGUGAAGUUGUUGAUUCUGACAGGC
rnacentral:snoRNA from 1 species